rnacentral:rRNA from 1 species
GAUAUGGCUCAGGAUGAACGCUAGCGAUAGGCUUAACACAUGCAAGUCGAGGGGCAGCACGGUGUAGCAAUACACUGGUGGCGACCGGCGUACGGGUGCGUAACACGUAUGCAACCUACCCGCUAUUGGGGGAUAACCCGGCGAAAGUCGGACUAAUAUCCCAUAUUAUUCUUACCGGGCAUCCGGUGAGUCUGAAAGAUUUAUCGAUUGCGGAUGGGCAUGCGGAUGAUUAGCUAGUAGGUGGGGUAACGGCUCACCUAGGCGACGAUCAUUAGGGGUUCUGAGAGGAAGGUCCCCCACACUGGAACUGAGACACGGUCCAGACUCCUACGGGAGGCAGCAGUGAGGAAUAUUGGUCAAUGGGCGCUAGCCUGAACCAGCCAAGUCGCGUGAAGGAUGAACCAGAUCUAUGGUUUGUAAACUUCUUUUGCAGGGGAGUAAAGUGCGACACGUGUGUUGUAUUGCAAGUACCCUGCGAAUAAGCAUCGGCUAACUCCGUGCCAGCCGCGGC